AUGGUGCAAGUGGCAUGUGUUAAAAAAGCUAAGGAGUCACUAGGGAGCAAUUAUACAAACAAGUCAGACUUCAGGACAGAGUUUCACCGUCUUUGUGACGAAAUGCUGACUAUAGAAGAAUUUGAAAACGGGUGGUCCAAUUUAACUGUGAAGUACGGGUUGGCGAGUAACACAUUCCUAGCUCAAGUUUACGAGGUUAGGGAGAAAUGGGCCAAACCAUAUUUCAGUGGUAAAUUCUGUGCAAAAAUGACAAGAACACAACGGAGUGAGAGUGCGAACCACAUGCUUAAAAAUUAUGUGCCACCAGCAUGUCCAAUGAACGUUUUCGUUAAGCAGUAUGGCAAGCUACAAUAUGACAGAGAGCAGGAGGAAGGAUUUCAAGACAAAAGGACAAGGCUGGGGGGGCUGUUAUAA
rnacentral:rRNA from 1 species